CAAAGCACUUUGAAGAGAGAGUUAAAGAGGACGUGAAACCGAUAAGGUGGAAACGGAUAGAGCCAACGUAUCUGGCUUGUAUUCAGCUGCUGCCGGUGCUCUGACUUGCUUGGCAAUCCCGCUUCUGGUUGUCCAUAGCGAGUUGUUGUGUGCUGGUGGUAGUGCAUUUGCAAGUGGAGUGCGCUGAGGUGUGUGGUGUAGCGAUUCGAUCUUCGCUUUGAGGACACUUAACGUGAAACCCAGGCGUUGGGAAAAUCGUCUAUGCCGCAUUCCCGCCGAUGGAGAGGCGCUUGUGGAUUGGAGCUUGAUCGCGGGGAUUGCUUGUAACGGCCGCAUGCGACGCGUGCUCGUUGUCCUCGCGUUUGAGUGAGAUCCCCUCUCCGGUGAUCUCGGUGUAAAAGUUGGUCAUCUAUCCGACCCGUCUUGAAACACGGACCAAGGAGUUUAGCGUAUACGCGAGUCAUUGAGUGUUGAAACUCAAAGGCGCAAUGAAAGUGAAUCGAAAGUGAUAUGCGAUCCCUUGCACUCCGGUGUUUGGGAGCAGCAUAGCCCCGUUCCAAUCGCUUGCGAUGGGGCGGAGGUAGAGCGUAUUCGCUGAGACCCGAAAGAUGGUGAACUAUUCCUGAGCAGGAUGAAGCCAGAGGAAACUCUGGUGGAAGUCCGAAGCGGUUCUGACGUGCAAAUCGAUCGUCUGACUUGGGUAUAGGGGCGAAAGACUAAUCGAACCAUC
rnacentral:rRNA from 1 species